AUCAUCCUAAGGUGUUCGGUCCAAAUUUAAACCUACAACUACUAUAAGGGAUUGCGGAGUUCUAACUUCGAUGACAAGCCUCCAAAGAGUGGAAGUCAGAGAUUUUAGACAGCUUGCCCACCUUCACAUACGGGAAGGUAUUAAAAAUAGGGCCCCCUUGGGAUUUAU
rnacentral:other from 1 species